rnacentral:rRNA from 1 species
GACGAACGCUGGCGGCGUGCUUAACACAUGCAAGUCGAACGAAGAGCGAUGGAAGCUUGCUUCUAUCAAUCUUAGUGGCGCACGGGUGAGUAACGCGUAAUCAACCUGCCCUUCAGAGGGGGACAACAGUUGGAAACGACUGCUAAUACCGCAUACGAUCUAAUCUCGGCAUCGAGGAUAGAUGAAAGGUGGCCUCUACAUGUAAGCUAUCACUGAAGGAGGGGAUUGCGUCUGAUUAGCUAGUUGGAGGGGUAACGGCCCACCAAGGCGAUGAUCAGUAGCCGGUCUGAGAGGAUGAACGGCCACAUUGGGACUGAGACACGGCCCAGACUCCUACGGGAGGCAGCAGUGGGGAAUCUUCCGCAAUGGACGAAAGUCUGACGGAGCAACGCCGCGUGAGUGAUGACGGCCGUCGGGUUGUAAAGCUCUGUUAAUCGGGACGAAAGGCCUUCUUGCGAAUAGUGAGAAGGAUUGACGGUACCGGAAGAGAAAGCCACGGCUAACUACGUG